UGUCAGUGUGUGUCUUUGUGUAGAACCAAAUGUUAGUGUGUCUGUGUGUACAUCUAAUUGUUAGUGUGUCUGUGUGUACAUCUAAAUGUUAGUGUGUCUGUUUGUACAUCUAAAUAUUAAUAUGUCUUUGUGUACAUCUAAAUAUUAGUGUGUGUCUUUGUUUAGAACCAAAUGAUAGUGUGUAUGUGUGUACAUCUAAUUGUUAGUGUGUCUGUGUGUACAUCUAAAUAUUAAUGUGUCUUUGUGUACAUCUAAAUAUUAGUGUGUGUCUUUGUUUAGAACCAAAUGUUAGUGUGUCUGUGAGUACAUCUGUGUGUGUGUGUGUGUGUGUGUGUGUGUGUGUGUGUGUCAUGAGUAGAUCUGGAUUUGCUCCUGAGGGGUUGACGAGGUGUCCUGAUGGCGUCCUGAUGGCGUCCCGAUGACGUGGUUUCCUGAUGGCGUCCCGAUGACGUGGCGUCCUGAUGGCGUCCUGAUGGCGUCCUGUUGGUCUGCAGACAAGGAGAAGAGACUGUGUGUCUUUGUUUAGAACCAAAUGAUAGUGUGUCUGUGUGUACAUCUAAUUGUUAGUGUGUCUGUGUGUACAUCUAAAUAUUAAUGUGUCUUUGUGUACAUCUAAAUGUUAGUGUGUGUCUUUGUUUAGAACCAAAUGUUAGUGUGUCUGUGUGUA
ensembl:lncRNA